rnacentral:rRNA from 1 species
GACGAACGCUGGCGGCGUGCUUAACACAUGCAAGUCGAACGGAAAGGCUCCAGCUUGCUGGAGUACUCGAGUGGCGAACGGGUGAGUAACACGUGGGUAAUCUGCCCUGCACUCUGGGAUAAGCCUGGGAAACUGGGUCUAAUACUGGAUAUGAUCUUUCUCCCUAUGGGGUUCGGUGGAAAGUUUUUCGGUGUAGGAUGAGCCCGCGGCCUAUCAGCUUGUUGGUGGGGUGAUGGCCUACCAAGGCGACGACUGGUAGCCGGCCUGAGAGGGUGAACGGCCACAAUGGGACUGCGGUACGGCCCAGACUCCAACGGGAGGCAGCAGUGGGGAAUAUUGCACAAUGGGCGGGAGCCUGAUGCAGCGGCGCCGCGUGAGGGAUGACGGCCUUCGGGUUGUGAACCUCUUUCGGCAGAGACGAAGCGUAAGUGACGGUACCUGCAGAAGAAGCACCGGCUAACUAUGUG